rnacentral:rRNA from 1 species
CCCUUAGAUGUUCUGGGCCGCACGCGUGCUACACUGAGUGGAUCAGCGGGUCAGGUUGCGCGAAAGCGUUUCCUAAUCUUUAAAUCCGCUCGUGAUGGGGAUUGACGGUUGCAAUUUUCUGUCAUGAACGAGGAAUACCUUGUAAGCGCGGGUCAUCAUCCCGCGCUGAAUACGUCCCUGCCCUUUGUAAACACCGCCCGUCGCUCCUACCGAUUGAGUGGUCCGGUGAGGCUUUGGGAUCUGAGCGGAAAGAGCGUUUCGCUGUUUCUGCUCGGAAAACUCAGUCGAACCUUAUCAUUUAGAGGAAGGAGAAGUCGUAACA